CCUACGGGAGGCAGCAGUAGGGAAUAUUGGGCAAUGGACGAGAGUCUGACCCAGCCAUGCCGCGUGCAGGAAGAAGGCCUCUGGGUUGUAAACUGCAUGGACAGAGUGGGGUGUACCGAUAGAAUAAGCACCGGCUAACUCCGUGCCAGCAGCCGCGGGAAUACGGAGGGUGCAAGCGUUGUCCGGGUUUAUUGGGUUUAAAGGGUGCGUAGGCGGCUUUUUAAGUCAGUGGUGAAAGACAACAGCUCAACUGUUGAAGUGCCAUUGAUACUGAAGAGCUUGAGUACAGAUGAGGUAGGCGGAAUUUAUGGUGUAGCGGUGAAAUGCAUAGAUACCAUAAAGAACACCUAUUGCGAAGGCAGCUUACUAAGCUGUACUGACGCUGAGACACGAAAGUGUGGGGAUCAAACAGGAUUAGAUACCCGUGUAGUC
rnacentral:rRNA from 1 species